AGUUCAUGGUGCGGACAUUUUCAAAAUAAAUCUCUAAACCUUUCUCAUGCUUCAUAUAAUGAUUCACCAUCUAAUUGACUAAAACUAGUAAUGUCCAUUCCAAGUUU